rnacentral:rRNA from 1 species
UACGGGGGGGGUAAGCGUUGUUCGGAAUUACUGGGCGUAAAGGGCUCGUAGGCGGCCAACUAAGUCAUACGUGAAAUCCCUCAGCUUAACUGGGGAACUGCGUGUGAUACUGGAUGGCUUGGAUUUGGGAGAGGGAUGCGGAAUUCCAGGUGUAGCGGUGAAAUGCGUAGAUAUUGGGAGGAACACCGGUGGCGAAGGCGGCUCUCUGGACCGGUUCUGACGCUGAGGCGCGAAAGCGUGGGUAGCAAACAGG